GCGAGUGAAGCGGCAACAGCUCAAAUUUGAAAGCUGGCCCCCCCGGGGGUCCGCGUUGUAAUUUGUAGAGGAUGAUUCGGCGAGGGCUCCCGCCUAAGUCCCCUGGAACGGGGCGUCAUAGAGGGUGAGAAUCCCGUAUGCGGUGGGCUGCCUUAGCCAUGUGAAUCUCCUUCGACGAGUCGAGUUGUUUGGGAAUGCAGCUCUAAAUGGGAGGUAAAUUUCUUCUAAAGCUAAAUACCGGCCAGAGACCGAUAGCGCACAAGUAGAGUGAUCGAAAGAUGAAAAGCACUUUGGAAAGAGAGUUAAAAAGUACGUGAAAUUGUUGAAAGGGAAGCGCUUGCAGCCAGACUUGUCCGCAGUUGCUCAGCCGGUCUCCUGACCGGCGCACUCUUCUGCGGCCAGGCCAGCAUCAGUUCGGGCGGUCGGAUAAAGGCCCCGGGAACGUAGCUCCUCUCGGGGAGUGUUAUAGCCCGGGGUGGAAUGCGGCCAGCCUGGACUGAGGAUCUCGCUUCGGCUAGGAUGCUGGCGUAAUGGCUGUAAGCGGCCCGUCUUGAAACACGGACCAAGGAGUCUAACAUCUAUGCGAGUGUUUGGGUGUCAAACCCAUGCGCGUAAUGAAAGUGAACGGAGGUGGGAACCCUCGCGGGUGCACCAUCGACCGAUCCUGAUGUCUUCGGAUGGAUUUGAGUAAGAGCAUAGCUGUUGGGACCCGAAAGAUGGUGAACUAUGCCUGAAUAGGGUGAAGCCAGAGGAAACUCUGGUGGAGGCUCGCAGCUGGUUCUGACGUGCAAAUCGAUCGUCA
rnacentral:sRNA from 1 species